UAAUACAGAGGGUGCGAGCGUUGUUCGGAAUUAUUGGGCGUAAAGCGCUGGUAGGUGGUUUGUUAAGUCGCGUGUGAAAUCUCCAGGCUCAACUUGGAAAGUGCGCGCGAAACUGGCGAACUUGAGUGCCGGAGAGGGUCGCGGAAUUCCCGGUGUAGAGGUGAAAUUCGUAGAUAUCGGGAGGAACACCAGAGGCGAAGGCGGCGACCUGGAAGGUAACUGACACUGAGCAGCGAAAGCGUGGGGAGCAAACAGGAUUAGAUACCCUGGUAGUCCACGCCGUAAACGAUGGAUGCUAGCUGUGGCGGGUUUUGACCCCUGCCGUGGCGACGCUAACGCAAUAAGCAUCCCGCCUGGGAAGUACGGCCGCAAGGCUA
rnacentral:rRNA from 1 species